GUCGAGGGGUAGAAGCAGCUUGCUGCUUUGAGACCGGCGCACGGGUGCGUAACGCGUAUACAAUCUACCUUUUACAGAGGGAUAGCCCAGAGAAAUUUGGAUUAAUACCUCAUAGUAUUUUCGAAUCGCAUGAUUUGAUUAUUAAAGUUCCAACGGUAAAAGAUGAGUAUGCGUCCCAUUAGCUAGAUGGUAAGGUAACGGCUUACCAUGGCAACGAUGGGUAGGGGUCCUGAGAGGGAGAUCCCCCACACUGGUACUGAGACACGGACCAGACUCNUACGGGAGGCAGCAGUGAGGAAUAUUGGACAAUGGGCGCAAGCCUGAUCCAGCCAUGCCGCGUGCAGGAAGACGGUCCUAUGGAUUGUAAACUGCUUUUAUACAGGAAGAAACACCUCUACGUGUAGAGACUUGACGGUACUGUAUGAAUAAGCAUCGGCUAACUCCGUGCCAGCAGCCGCGGUAAUACGGAGGAUGCAAGCGUUAUCCGGAAUCAUUGGGUUUAAAGGGUCCGUAGGCGGCCAAAUAAGUCAGUGGUGAAAGCCCACCGCUCAACGAUGGAACGGCCAUUGAUACUGUUUGGCUUGAAUUAUUAGGAAGUA
rnacentral:rRNA from 1 species